UAGGGAAUCUUCGGCAAUGGACGAAAGUCUGACCGAGCAACGCCGCGUGAGUGAAGAAGGUUUUCGGAUCGUAAAACUCUGUUGUUAGAGAAGAACAAGGACGUUAGUAACUGAACGUCCCCUGACGGUAUCUAACCAGAAAGCCACGGCUAACUACGUGCCAGCAGCCGCGGUAAUACGUAGGUGGCAAGCGUUGUCCGGAUUUAUUGGGCGUAAAGCGAGCGCAGGCGGUUUCUUAAGUCUGAUGUGAAAGCCCCCGGCUCAACCGGGGAGGGUCAUUGGAAACUGGGAGACUUGAGUGCAGAAGAGGAGAGUGGAAUUCCAUGUGUAGCGGUGAAAUGCGUAGAUAUAUGGAGGAACACCAGUGGCGAAGGCGGCUCUCUGGUCUGUAACUGACGCUGAGGCUCGAAAGCGUGGGGAGCAACAGG
rnacentral:rRNA from 1 species